GACGAACGCUGGCGGCGUGCUUAACACAUGCAAGUCGAACGGCAAGGCCCUUCGGGGUACACGAGUGGCGAACGGGUGAGUAACACGUGGGUGAUCUGCCCUGCACUUCGGGAUAAGCCUGGGAAACUGGGUCUAAUACCGGAUAGGACCCUGGGAUGCAUGUCCUGGUGUGGAAAGCUUUUGCGGUGUGGGAUGGGCCCGCGGCCUAUCAGCUUGUUGGUGGGGUGAUGGCCUGCCAAGGCGACGACGGGUAGCCGGCCUGAGAGGGUGACCGGCCACACUGGGACUGAGAUACGGCCCAGACUCCUACGGGAGGCAGCAGUGGGGAAUAUUGCACAAUGGGCGCAAGCCUGAUGCAGCGACGCCGCGUGAGGGAUGACGGCCUUCGGGUUGUAAACCUCUUUCAGCACCGACGAAGCGCAAGUGACGGUAGGUGCAGAAGAAGGACCGGCCAACUACGUGCCAGCAGCCGCGGUAA
rnacentral:rRNA from 1 species